UACGGAGGGUGCGAGCGUUGUCCGGAAUCACUGGGCGUAAAGGGCGCGUAGGCGGCUUUUUAAGGGUGCGGUGAAAGCCCGGGCUUAACCCCGGGUCGGCCGUGCGGACUGCCGGGCUGGAGCACUGUAGAGGCAGGUGGAAUUCCGGGUGUAGCGGUGGAAUGCGUAGAGAUCCGGAAGAACACCGGUGGCGAAGGCGGCCUGCUGGGCAGUUGCUGACGCUGAGGCGCGACAGCGUGGGGAGCAAACAGGAU
rnacentral:rRNA from 1 species